AUUGAACGCUGGCGGCAUGCUUUACACAUGCAAGUCGAACGGUAACAGGCCUUCGGGUGCUGACGAGUGGCGAACGGGUGAGUAAUGCAUCGGAACGUGCCCAAUCGUGGGGGAUAGCGUAGCGAAAGUUACGCUAAUACCGCAUAAGCCCUGAGGGGGAAAGUGGGGGACCGCAAGGCCUCACGCGAAUGGAGCGGCCGAUGUCAGAUUAGCUAGUUGGUGGGGUAAAGCCCACCAAGGCGACGAUCUGUAGCGGGUCUGAGAGGAUGAUCCGCCACACUGGAACUGAGACACGGUCCAGACUCCUACGGGAGGCAGCAGUGGGGAAUUUUGGACAAUGGGCGCAAGCCUGAUCCAGCCAUGCCGCGUGAGUGAAGAAGGCCUCGG
rnacentral:rRNA from 1 species